rnacentral:lncRNA from 1 species
UCUGCUGUAUGCUAAACCUGAUGUAGUGUGAUAAUGUAAUUUUCUCCUGUAGUCUCUGCUUCCCCCAGUCAGACUGAGAUGGAGGCAGACAGUAAUGUGACUCUCCACUGCAUCCUGCACGCAUCUAACCACGAUGGAGAUGAAUUUAUUCUGAGCUGGGUGGAUGACACAGGGAAAGAGCUGCAGAACAAUAGCUAUCGACAGAUCAGAACCUCAUCUCCCAUUUCUAUCACACUGACUGAGGAGCUCAGAGGUCCAAACCCUGUUCAUACUCGGACAUGCCAGGUGACUUCAGGAGGACAGGUUCAGACUUCUGUCUCCCACACCAUCAGAGUGAAAGUGGUCCAUGUGGCUGUUAAAGUUGCUACCACUAUCAGUCUGUUUGUGGCUGUGAUCAUAGUUGCAGUCAUUUACAGGAUCAGAUCAGGUGAUCCCCAUGGCGAACCGAACACCUCUGUGAGUAAAACACACACAUACUUAUUUCAGCGUCAGUUUGUAAAACUAUAAAUGUGGUGUUCUCUUUCUUUUGCCUAAGGCUCGUAGGGUUCACGCGGCUGCAACCAGCGAGUCCUUGUAGCCUUGUAUUCCUUAUGGGCUCUUGAGACGCAACUGGUGCCAGACUCUUCAUCACCUAAAUCAACCUUCAUCACCUGCACUGGAGCUACAGGAUACCAGGCUGGCAGGCUGCAGUGAUAGUCUAUAACUGCUUUAAGGUGGCAUUAAUGUUCAACUUCAAGACGUCUUAAACUUCAAUGAGUUUUUUUUUUAUUAUCUUACAUUAACCGCGUGUUUGUGUGGCUGUGACUGUUUCUUUUAGCAGUACUUUUAUGAAGAAGAUGUGGGAUCAUUUUGUGUUUUACAAUAGUCAAUGUGCUUAGUUGAGACAAGUUUUAUUUUUCAUGUGUUUAAGUUUGAAAUGCUCUCCUUUUUCUGUCCCUGAGUUCUUAUGAAUAUAUCAUACCUUAUGGUGUGGACAUAAAUUCCUUCUAUAGAGUAACGUGAGGAAUAUAUUAUCAGAGCUUUGGAUAUGUUACUUUUACCUUGUAUUGCUUGUAACUUUCCCCGGUGCCGUGAAUAAAGCUGCAGUCUCACACCUUUGUUGCCUGAAA